rnacentral:rRNA from 1 species
UGGGUAACCUGCCUCAAAGAGGGGAAUAGCCUCCCGAAAGGGAGAUUAAUACCGCAUAAUAUGUUUAGGUCGCAUGACUUUAACAUCAAAGGU